rnacentral:lncRNA from 1 species
UUUUAUUUAAGUAAAAUUAAUUAAUAAAUAAGGUAGUAUUUUAGUCUUGUUCACCGAAAAGAAAGAAUAAAACUUGGGCUCGAGCAACCCAUUUUUAAGCCUAAUUUUGGACCUAACCCAUAAUUUUUAAGCCCAUAAUUCUUAGGCCCAUACCCCUUAACCUAAAUAUAACCCUAAAAACCUAAACCUAUAAAAGAAGCUAAACCCUAAACUAUAUAGAGAUCAGCCGCAAUACUUAAAGGAGAUGAGCUAAAAAAUACAGAAAAAAAGAAGCUUAAGACCUAAGCAACAACGAUCCUCCAUGGGUCUUCUUCACAAAAUCAAAGAAAAACCAAAAAGGGAAGAUCCCUAAGCUAAAUAAGAGGAACGACCGCAGUAACCGAAAAUCACGACCCCACCCCAAAACUUUGAUCUUCGAUUUCAGUCGAUUCAGCUGUGUCGGUGAAUGUUAAAUGGAGUUGUGUUUCUCGUUAGAUUGAAGAAUAUUAGUUCAAUGAUCGGAUUCCGAUUUGCAAAAUACAAGGUUUUUCUAUACUUCAAUAAUUGAAAAAAUACAAGAAUAGUACACCUCUGUUUUUUCUUUUUGAUUUCUUUAUAUUUUUCAAAAAAUGGAAUUUGAUUAAAUUUGAGUGUAGUUUGAGCUCGCCGCGAGUCUGAAGUUGCCGAUAGAGGUUUCCGGUUCGAGUUCUGUCCAAUAGCUCGCUCAAGAUUCAUUGUUUGGAGCUUCCAUUACUAUACCCGUCGGGAAAUUUUCAGCAAAUCAAGGUCCAUCCUUUUCCGUUGUUUUACUGUCGAUAUUGCAAAAUCUCGUGUUUGUCUCAAUUUGUGAAUGUUAUAUGUGUUGAUCCACCAUUUUUUUCUCCUUAUUAUUUAUGAUAGUUUAAUUGUGCUCUUUAGAUUAGUCAUAGAAUUUAAGUGAAUGAUUUUUUUAAUCAGUUAAUAAUAGAGGGACCAUAGUAUUUGAGCUAAAAGUUGUAAACAUUACCACUAACAUUACACACUUGAUACCCACCCAACUUAUAUCUUUACUAUUAUUUGUGGUUGAAAAUAUAAACAAGGUUAAUAAUGACGUGUUUUCCUUCAUAGAUAAUUCAUCAGAGGUUAUUUCAAAGUAUUGAGAAUUUUGGCAUGCUUAUUGGAUCACGUACUGGAUUGCCUUAUUGUGAUUUGAGGAUAUUAGUUAAAUAGCUUCAAUUGUCUCAAACCCUUUCUAAUAGCUUUAAUAAUAUUGCAUAACUUCCUAUGUGACAGUUCCAUUUAUAUAAAUCAUGGCUUUAUGACAAUCUGAUAUGAACAUCGUAGAAAAGCCUUUAGGCGCGUUUAAAAUAUUAUUGUGAUUGUGUACACGUUCGCGUGACAUAAUUACGAUUCUAAAAAUCGAUUCGGAGUAUGUGUUCACGUAAAUUCGAUCAAACCUCCUUAAUAAUAAAUUUGUUUUUGAUAACCGCUAGAUUAAAUGUAGUUCUUUAGUCCGAGGUGUGCCAUCCACAAUUUAAUCAUUCAUGACCCUCAUAUUAAUCUUACGACUUGGAUAUUAAGAAUGAUAUUCGUAGCUUGCUUUAGGCACGUUUAAUAUACUAUCAUUGUUGUGGACACGUUCGCAUGACAUGAUUAUGAUUUCUAAAAAGUAACUCAAGGGAUGCAUUCGCGCAACCUCAACUAAACAUUUCUUAAUAAAAUAAACAAAACGUUAUUGAUUGUGGACACAUACGCAUGACAUGAUUUUGACAGGCCAAAAGAAAAGAGUAUACGUAAGCGUAACUCAAUUCUUUAAUUACGCAUAAUUCAAGUGAUUAAAAGCAGUAAAAGGUAAAUGCACAUAGGUUCUAAAAAUAAGUAAUUAGACAACUUAAGCCAAGUAUAAAUUGCUAAGCGAUCAUGCUACAACCACGGAACCCGGAAAUGCCUAAUACCUUCUCCCGGGUUAACAGAAUUCCUUAUUUAGAAUUUUUGGUUCGCAUACUUUUAAAUAAAGUCGAAAACUUCCUCGGUUUGGGAUUUAAAAUAAAUCGGUGACUUGGGACACCAAAUAAUUUAUUCCAAGUGGCGACUGUGAUAAAUUAAUUAAUCCCAUCUCGAAUAAUAUCACUUUAAUUGGAAAUACUCCCUUAUAUACCCUUCGGGUGGUAAAAAGGAGGUGUGAUACCCUAGAAGCACAUAAUGAACACGAAGACCCUACGAUGAACUCAGCCCAAAGAAAUGAUUGAGCACUCAUCAUAAAAAAUACGGUAAAAGCUACUAUGACCGUACCUUUCAUAAAGGAAAUCAAAAGGUAUGUAGGAGUUUUUUAGGCACUCCAAAUCAUCAUUUUUCUUCAGCCCUAUCAUCUUAAAGAACCCUCUGGUUGUGCGAUUUUCAGGUCCCAACAGACCAGGGUUAUCCCAAGGUAACCCAACAAAUCCCUCUAUUACUUCUAGAAGGGGAGUAAUUUCUAUGUCUCCAAAAUGGAAUACAACCCUUUCCUUAUCCCUAAAUAGAGUGGCAACCUCGAUUAGCAGCUUAUUUGGUUGAAGAUCCAACAGUGAUGGCAAAUUACCCAAGACUCUUUUUACAUGAUUUUGGUCACUUGAGGGAAGAUCCCUCCACCAAUCUAUGUAAAGUGGAGGAAUACUACCGACCAUAUCAAACCUGGGGACUUCGUGCCUCAUUUUCUACAAAACAAGAGAUAGUUAGACGCUUUCCCUCUCCAGGUUCAUAUAUUUAUACAGUAAUGAUUAGCAUAUUGGCACUUAUUUCUCCAAAUUAAUGCACAUAAUCAUGGUUACAUCCGUUGGGAUUGUGGAAAACCCGAUGGACUUUUGGACGAGGCUUGUCUUAAAAGGUUAUUAUGCGGACAACAUAUUAAGCCGGCUAGGUCUGACCAUGAUGCAUGUACAAUUAAUCAGAGUAAGGCUAAUUUAGAGGUCUAGACUGGGACCUUCAAGUGGACAACUUGAGGGGGAAAGGUAUGGAACCGUCGAACACACCGCUGAUCGACUAGUUUUACCGCAAAUGCGCAUUUCCGAAUUUAAAGGAUGAUAUAUAGGAAGAGCGGAAACACUCAUCAAGUAUUGCUAUAGGAUUGAUUAUGCAUGAGUGGAAUAUGAUGUUGAGCGUGAUUUAUGCAACAAUAAAUAGCAUGUUCUCAAGUAUUUACAUGUAAAAAAUGAUAAAUGCAAUAUUUAAAUAAUUAAAAGACAGUUACGAAAAAAAGAAAACAAAGAGACAAGUCAGUUUCAGGAAAAUAAAAAAAUCAUAAAUGCUUGAAAAUAUGUAGUUAAAUUCAAAUAAGGGGAAAGGGUACAUGAGAUAGAGCAUGCUGGACUAAUUCACAAAAAUAAGUUCGUUAUGGUAAGAGCCUAAAAUAUCCCCCAUCAGAGUCACCAUGUUAUCGUGCCCCCUUUUUCCUCACGGAGUUCGGGUUUUGACAUUCAUGGGGAAUAACUCGUUUCUUUUUGGGAAUUGGGUAUUUGAAGCGUCGCCACCUAACGGAUUAUGGUGCGUUAUGGUACCUAGAGUAAUUAACUCGCGUAACUAGUUUGCAUUACCAGAGAUUAGGGUAAGAGCUCGAAAUAACCUUGAGGGGAAGGUGUUAGGCACCCCUCGCGGUCCACAACGGUGGGUCCCAGCCAAACUUAAACUAUGUGAAUUAGUCAUUUUAACAAGUAAACAGUUUUAACACAUAUUUGCAAAUAAAGACAUAUUUUCACAUUAUAAAUACAUGUAUGAUUCAGAUAAUGAAAGUAAGAGAGAGGUUUGGACAACUUACACAUGUAUAUGUCAAGAAAGGAAAGUUUAGAUGAUUUAAACACAUAUAGGAAUUGGGAAAGGGAAGUCCUAAGUUGAUUAGCCUACAUGAUCAAUCUGUGCAAUGCCCGGUAAUCCUCCUCAACUAGAGGGGCUACACAUGAUAUUAGUGCGCAAGUCAUCAUAUCCUUUUACUACCCAUUACCCUCCCCUUAGUGGUUAUAUAAGCGAGUUUCAUUAAUGACCUCUAAGCGUGCUUCUACCCGUCCCUUCCUUGUGGUCCUGGAGGACUUUAGGACCUUUAAAUCUGGGCAGUUCUAGACAGCCUAAUGUAUUUAAAAGAGAAACUCUAGGCGACUUGCAAAGAACAUAUAGGACAAUCAAAUAGGGAGAGGCAGUUGAGGUUCAUGUUUUCCUCUGAAUGUACAUAAGUAAAUAGGCAGCACAUCUCAAAUAACUGAUUUUUAAUAAGUUCAAAAAGCCUAGGAACAUGAUAUCUUGAUGAACAAUCACGAAAUAGAACAUGCAUCGUUUGUUUUAAGAGAAGUGGUAGAAUCCUAACCAGUUGCCUACUAGUUUUAUAGCCUGUUAAGCCUGGAUAAUUUCACACAUAAACAGGACUGGUUUCACAAUUAUUUAACGUCCUAAGGCUUGCCUAAGUAUGUAUAUGCAGUCACAAUUUUGGGAAAUAGUUUGAAGUUCUUUUGUCCUAUAGGCAUGCUUUCUAGUGACAUUUAACAAGACACUGUAUGAAGUUCUAGUUUUAGUACUUGAUGCAUAUGAUGAUUACCCUAUGGACAUGAGUUCUAUCUCUAAUGAGUGAAAAUGCUAUUAGUUCUUAUUAGACACGCAUACUGAAUGAGCAAGUGUGACAACCAAUUAAACCUGCAUGUAUGAUUUCUAAAGAGAUCGAUUUGAAUAUAUGCUGUAAUGAAAGUUGAACCUUAGUUAUUUUAUUCCCUAUAGGCAUGGCGUCUAAUCAUGUAAAGAAAAUUAGGUAUAACUUAUUUCAACCAAAGCAAACCCUAUAGGCAGGUUAUCUAACAAAGAGCAUUUGAGCCAAAGUAAACCCUAUAGGCAUGUUAUAUAGCACAGAAUAGUGAUUAGAGUAAACAUCUAGGCAAGUUUUCAAAUAUGCAGUAGCAGAGUGCUUUUGAAUGAAGUAAAGCCAUAGCCAGGUGAUCUAACAUAUAAUAGUAUAAAUCAAACACCUAUAGGCAUGUUAUCUACUCAGCUACCCAUAGUACCAUACAACUACCCUCCCUUUUCACUAGUCACCCCAAUAUCUGUUUAUAAUUAAUUAUUACAGACCAAUGAUUGAAUAAAAAUUACAUAAAUAAAAAUAUAAAUUAAGCUAUAGGGAGCCUGAAGUAGUCCCAAAGCAAAUCCUGGUGUACCAGGCCUUUAGUAGUCUCAAAUGCUAAGGAUUUCAUAGCCCAAUUCAUGUCCAGGUAUGUCAGAGUUCUCUAAGGACCUCAAGGAUCCCGAGAAGUGCUCAAACCCAGACUUUUCUCAAAUGAAGACUUAUUAUGUGCAAUGUAUAAGAGUCAGCCCUGAUAUUCCAGAGUUCAGAGAGAUCUCAAGGAUCUUUAGGCAUUACACAUACCAGAGGGGAAGACUUAAUAAUCUAAGAGUAAGUGAGAGUAAUUGAAAAAACUUAGUGAAAACACUAUGGAGAUAAACUCUUAGGAGUAAAAGAUCUUCUGUAAUAGACCAGUUUUAAGAAAAAAUGCUAGUAAUGAAACCAGUUUUAGAAGAACACAUUUGAAAACAGUUCAAAGGAGAGCAAAUUCAGUAGACAAUAAAUAGAUCAUAAAAGGUUCAGUUCCACAGACACUUUAGCAAACAUGUUUGCACACAGGGGUGAAAAGGGGAAUAGGAACACAUGGAGAUCUUAUUGAGGGUGCAUGAAUAGGGUGCAGGGAGAUAAAUAGGCAGUUGUGCACGGUGAAAUUGGAGGGACCAAUUUCCUCGUCAUUUUGAUGCCCCGCAAACAUGCUUCCCAAGGCUCGAGACUGGGGUCGGGUUUCGCCUUUGACAAUUAUCGGGGCUCGGCCUCGGGGAAAUUUAGACCAACGACUAUAUUGGAAAAGAGGGGACUUCCCAAGAGGUGCAACCAGAGCCGAUAAAGUCUGUCAGGCUAGUCUGUGCCCGCAUCAUGACAUCAGCUAGUUGUCCCAUCCCCUUUUCUUUGUAAUAAAUGUGUUUAUACUACGUUGGGAUUCCCUCCUUUUCUAUAAAAGGGAGCCCUUCCCAUUUUGUAGAGGUCUGUUGCUUCAAUGGCUCCACACGAAAUGUACAAGAACAUUCUCUUUGCUCUCUAACAUAUUCUCUUGAUAUUAUCUCUUUCAUUUAUUAUCUUCAUUAUUGUUCAUUAUUUAUUGCUUAUCAUUGGCCUUAAAGAACCUUCAUUGAAUUUAGCCUAUCGGUUAGCCCCAAAUUGACAAGCUCGAGCCCCCGAUUGUUAGCCUAUCGAUUUCAUUAUCACCCUACCCUUAACUCUCAUUUAGUUCCUAAGUCUCACAUACAUAGCAUCAACUGCUUAAACAACUAGCAUAAAAAUAGAUCACGUAUUUUUAGAGUCCCAUAACCAAAUUUAAUUGUUAUUACUAUUUUGAUGGUAAACAGUUUGGCGCCCACCUUAGGGCUAAAAAUAAUAGUGAUUAUUUUCUUGCUGGUUCGCCACAUAACGCGAGUUAUCUUUUACACCUGUUCUUGUCCAAGAUCUUCAAAUUUUAGGUCGAAAUGCCUAACUCGGUAAAUAGAGAUGAAAACAACUACAUGGAGAAUCAGGGAGAGAAUGGUGUAGUUGUUCCAACCUGGGCACAAAAAGAGAUCCCUCGGCAUGUCGUUCAUAUGAUUAUUGGAUGGAUCGACAUUCCCCAAGGGCCCAUGAUCAAGCGGACAAAAGUGUUUGCCAUAAUAGAAGGGCUGAUCCGAGACCGUGUGGUCGAAGACACCCUCGUGUUUAGCGAAGAGGAUCUUGAGACCUUGACAGAACCACACAACGAUGUGCUGGUAAUCUCAUUUCUUUUAAACAACGUUCAAGUUAAACGUGUGCUCUUGGAUCCAGGAAGCUCGGCCAACGUAAUCGGGUCAGGGGUAGUAGAGUAGCUUGGGUUACUCGACCAUAUCAUAUCCGCCUCCCGGGACCUCCACGACUUUAACAUGACAUGUGAAGUAACGAAAUGAGAAUUCACCCUCCCAGUCGACUCGUCCGGCACGGUUCAGAACAUAAAGUUUCAAGUCAUCAAUGGCGAUAUAAGGUAUAAUGCAUUGCUUGGCAGGCCAUGGAUACACAGCAUGAGGGUAGUACCAUCAACCCUGCACCAGAUGAUUAAAUUUCCGACAAGGGAUGGCAUAACGACCAUAUAUGGAGAAUAGCAUAAAACGAAAGAAAUGUUAGCGGUUUACCAGGAGGAGUCGACCCCCAUACUCCCAACCUCGGAUGCAUCUGGGAGAAUAUAAACCAACAGGAUGACAAAGAAGAUUUCCUCGUUCCUCAAACUUUCUUUGCCCCCAAAGAGUCAGAUGCAAAAAAUCGACAAUCAAAAACCUGGAGCAAGCUUUUCUGAUCGAACACCUCCCCGAUCGUAAGGGAUACUUGGGAACGGGAUUAACCCCCGAACUUAGGAAAAAAUUCAUUCAAUUUCUUAUCGAUAAUAUCGAUUGUUUCGCAUGAUCCCACUUAGAUAUGACAGGUAUCCCACUGGAAAUAACCUCCCACCGACUGAGUGUUGACCCCGGGUUUAAAUCGAUGAAGCAAAAAAGAAGACCCCAGUCCGAGAUAAAACACGCAUUCAUCAAGGAUGAGGUAACAAAACUCCUUAAAAUAGGGUCCAUUAGAGAAGUAAAGUACCCUAAAUGGCUGGCCAACGUAGUAGUGGCACCCAAAAAAGGAAAUAAGCUAAGAAUGUGCGUAGACUAUAAAGACUUAAAUAAAGCGUGUCCCAAGGAUUCAUUCCCAUUGCCUAAAAUCGAUCGUCUGAUCGAUGCUACGGCCGGCCACGAGACCCUCACCUUUCUCGAUGCCUAUUCGGGGUACAAUCAAAUUCAGAUGAACCCCAAAUAUAGGGAGAAGACCUCGUUCAUCACAAAGUAUGGUACCUACUAUUAUAAUGUAAUGCCUUUCGGACUAAAUAAUGUUGGGGCUACAUACCAGCGUCUAGUUAAUAAAAUAUUUGAGAGUCAAAUAGGUAAAUCCAUGGAAGUUUAUAUUGACGAAAUGCUAGUUAAAUCCCUACACGCAGAUGACCAUUUAACUCAUUUGCAGGAAACAUUCGACAUCCUCGGAAGUUACAACAUGAAUCUCAACCCUAAGAAAUAUGCCUUCGGAGUAGGUUCGUGCAAAUUCUAAGGCUUCAUGGUAUCAAACAGGGGGAUCGAGAUUAACCUCGAUAAAAUCAAGGCCAUCAAAGAAAUCAUGGUGGUAAAUAAUGUAAAGCCCUUGCAAUGACUAACAAGACAAAUAGUGGCUCUGGGCAGAUUCAUAUCAAGGUCAUCUGACAGGAACCAUCACUUCUUCUCCUCACUCAAAAGGAAAAACAACUUUGAAUGGACUCCAGAAUGCCAACGCGCCUUAGAAGAGCUGAAGCGAUAUCUGGCUAGCCCACCUCUGCUCCACAUGCCGAAGGAACAUGAAACACUAUAUCUAUACUUGGUCAUAUUCAAGAUAGCGGUAAGCGGUGUGCUAGUUCGAGAAGAGCAAGGUAUGCAAUUCCCUAUUUAUUAUGUAAGCCGGACCCUAGGGGAUGCUGAAACUAGGUAUCCACACCUUGAAAAAUUAGCUCUUUCUUUAAUAAGCGCAUCACAAAAGUUGAAACCCUAUUUUCAAUGCCACCAUAUUUGCAUUCUAACCACAUACCCCCUCGAGAGCAUAUUGCACAAACCCAAACUAUCAUGUCGAUUGGCCAAAUGGGGGAUCGAACUCGGGGGGUAUGAUAUCGAGUAUCAACCUCGAACGGCCAUCAAGUUCCAGAUUCUGGCUGACUUCGUAGCCGAUUUCUCGCUCUCCCUCGUGCUCGAGGUAGAAAAGGAACUUCUACUGAAAUCAGGCAGUCUUCUAGGGUGUGGACCCUGUUCACUGACGGCACCACAAACGUGAGAGGUUUCGAACUCGAUGUAGUCCUAAAGCCUCCUAUGGGCGGCUUGAUCAAACAAUCUAUAAAAACUGCAAAAUUGACUAACAAUGAAGCCGAGUACGAGGCUAUGAUUGCAGGUUUAGAACUUACCAAAAGCCUAGGAGCCGAGACCAUCAAAGAAAAAUUUGAUUCAUUCCUGGUAGUGAACUAGGUGAAUAGGAGCUAUGAGGUCCGAGAAGAUAGGAUGCAGAGGUAUUUGGACUAGAUCCAAGUUGCAUUAUGUCGCUUCAAAGAAUAGAAUUUAGUCCAUGUACCUUGAGAGUAGAAUAGCGAGGCUGAUGCCCUCGCAAACCUGGGAUCAUUUUUUGAAGAAGAUGACCUACUCCUCGGGGCUGUUAUUCAACUAUCUAAAUCAGUGAUCGAGGAAGGUCACGCAUAGAUUAGUUCCACCAGCCUAACAUGGGACUGGAGAAAUAAAUAUAUUGGUUAUCUAAAAGACGGAAAAUUGCCCACGGAUCCAAAGGAAUCGAGGGUCGUGCGAACCAAAGUAACCCGGUUCUCGCUCGAUGAAAAUAAGACUCUAUACAGAAGAACUUUUGAUGGGCACCUAGCAGUAUGUCUGGGGCCGGGGGAUACAGAUUACGUACUCCGAGAAAUUUACGUGGGUACUUGCGGAAAUCACUCCGACGCCAACUCCUUGGUCCAAAAAAUAAUCAGGGCAGGCUACUACUGGGACAACAUGGAAAAAGAUACUAAGGAGUUCAUCUGAAAAUGCGAUAAAUGCCAGAGAUUUGCCCCUAUGAUUCACCAACCCGGUGAACAACUACAUUCGGUCAUAUCACCGUGGCUAUUCAUGAAAUAGGGGAUGUACAUCAUUGGGCCCCUACCGACUGCAUUAGGUAAAGCUAAAUUCAUCUUAUUUAUGUCUGACUAUUUCUCAAAAUGGGUGGUAGCGCAGGCAUUCAAGAAGGUAAGAUAAAAGGAAGUCAUUAACUUCAUCUGGGAUCACAUUAUGUGCCGAUUCGGAAUUCCUUCCGAGAUAACAUGCGAUAAUGGGAGGCAGUUCAUCGGGAGCAAGGUAACACAAUUCCUUGAGGAUCAUAAAAUCAAGAUAAUCCUAUUGACGCCUUACCACCCAUGUGAAAACGGCUAGGUCGAGUCCACAAAUAAAACCAUCAUCUAAAACAUAAAAGGAAUCUGGAAAGCGCCAAGGGAAAGUGGAGAGAAAUGUUGCCCGAAUUGCUGCGGGCAUACCAAACAACUUCAAAAUCAAGCACAGGGAAAACACCUUUCUCUCUAGUAUACGAUGUCGAGGCUUUGAUACUAGUAGAGGUAGGGGAGCCAAGUGCCAGAUUCCAACACACCACUGAAAGCUCAAACAAUAAGGCCAUGAAAACGGCCCUCAAACUACUAGAUGAAAAAUGAGAAGCCUCGCUGGUCCAGAUGGCCCCAAAAGCAAAGGAUCGAAAGAUAUUAUAACACGAGAACAAACCUCUGACAUUUCGGAGUUGGGGACUAGGUUCAAAGGAAAAUCACCCUUAACACCCGAAACACUAAUGAAGGAAAGCUAGGCCAAAAUUGGGAAGGACCGUACCGUGUCCUCGGAGUAGUCGGCAAAGGGUCUUACAAGCUCGGUGUCAUGUAGGGCGAACAACUUACAAGCAACUUGAACAUAUCAAUUCUAAAACGAUAUUAUUGCUAGGGCAUCCGAUUGAAAAUUCCGAGAACAUCCUCGAGCAUGCAUUGCACUCUUUUCCUUCGAUCGGAUUUUAUCCCUAGAAGGGUUUUACCGACAAGGUUUUUAACAAGGCAAUGGCCAUACGGCACCUAAGGAGACUCAAAAAGUAUUCGAGAAUUCUUUUACAAUCCACCUCGAAUACUGGGGGCCUCCUCCCGAAAGGUCAACUACUCGGGAAAGCCAAGACACCCCAAAUGGGACCUCGAUAGGAAAAGUAAUGUACCGGGCCAAACGGUUGAAUAAACCAUGCCCAUAUAGAGCAACCAUGCUUUUAAAUGCAAAAACAUGUAUACUUGUACCAAGUAAUCGAAGAACACUUUUCAUAAAAUCAUUUCACGCUUCAAGAGAAACUCGACGUUUUAGCAAAGAGGACUCCUCUAUCAAAAAUGUCUCGAACAUUCGAAGACUGGCAUCAACAAUUCGACACCUGAACGACCCCCAGGUCAAAACUCCAAACUCAUAAGCCCUCAACGAGGCAACAUCAAAAUCAUAAAAUGUCUCUAAAACCGAAAGUGUCCUGAACACUCGGAGACUGACACCGAUAUCUCAAUAAUCGCAUGACCUCAUGGUCAGAAUCGCCAAAAUCGUAAGCCCUCAAUGAGGCAAUACCAAGUUUAUAAGUAAUGGCUCCCAAGUCAAGAAUCCCUCGAUGACUCGGGGACUGCCGUCAAGCGCCACCUCCAUCGACUUACCAAAACCCGAGGUCAUAAGGCCACAUGCGGGCAGCCUCAGUCCUGUAAGACCUACACAAGGCAACAAAAAUAUCUAUAAGAUCUCAAGCCAGCCGUGAACAAUACUUGUACCAAGUAUCCAAAACUGUAAGACCUCAAAGGCAUGUAAAAUUUUGUAAGACCUUACUAAAGGCAUAAACCCAAUCUCAAAGUCUCGGCUAUAUAUCAAACUUGUAAGACCCCUAAAAAGGCAUACCCUCGAUAUAGAUGCUGAAACUACUUCACUCAGGACAUAAAGGCUCCGGCCAAACACAAAUGACUCCGGUCACAAGGCUGUACCAACCGAACUAACGUGACUCGGGGAUGCCCGACAAUCGAUACAAAAUCACAGGCUUAAAAUUACUUCAAAUCUACUUCGAAAAGAACCGGUUAAAUAGGCUACCCUAGAUACAUGCAAAAGAGCUUCGACCAUGUCAGCUCCUAAACUUCGGCUUCGAAAUACUCAACCUCCAAACCAAACCUUCCGAGGUGCUCGAUUAUCGCCAUAUAAUCCUUAUCGAGGAAUAAAUAAAGCCCACAUAAAAGGUCUCUUCGACCCAAAGCGUAAGAGCCAUUGUUGCCAGCCUAAUGAGCCUUAGGGCCAUACACAUAAAAGGUCGCUCAGACCCAAGGCGUAAGAGCCAUAGUCUCCAGCCGACACAUAAGGUCGCUUAGACCCGACACGUAAGAGCCUAAGGGCCAGCUCGAAAUCCAAAACUUGACGGUCUAAUGAGCUCGAAUCGAAACCUGACUUGGAGACUGAACCCAAAAUAGUUAACUAAAUAUGCAUAAGAGCAAAGCAUAAGAGCCAUUGUCGCCAGCCUAAUGAGCCCCAGGGCCACCCGCAUAAAAGGUCCUCAGACCCAAGGCGUAAGAGCAAUAUUCGCCAGCCCACACAUAAGGCCGCUCCAACCUGACGCACAAGAGCCUAAAGGCCACCUCGAAAUCCAAAACAUGAGGGUCGAAUGAGCUCGAGUCGAAACCCGACUCGGUAACUGAACCCAAAAUAGUUAAUUGAAUAUGCCUAAGAGUAAAGUGUAAGAGCCACUGUCACCAGCCUAAUGAGCCCUAGGGCCACCCGCAUAAAUGGUCGCUCAUACCCAAGGCGUAAGAGCCAUAGUCACCAGCCCACACAUAAAGUCGCUCUGACCCAACGCGUAAGAGCCUAAGGGCCAACUCGAAAUUAUAAAAACUUGAGGGUCAAAUGAACUCGAGUCGAGAUUCGACUCGGAGACUGAGCCCAAUCUAAUAAAAACACUUGAGAGCAAAAGCAUAAGAGCUCAAUGCCAGCGUACUCUAAAAGGGUGAACUGACCCGGUACAUAUGAGUCACUGUCGCCGGCGCUAAGAUCAAAGGUCGUGCUGGUAGGAUACAUAAAAUCCAAGUCGCUUGACGAUAGAAAAGCCCGAGGGUCUAACCCAAAGUUCGGGAGCUUAGGUCGAAAGUCAAAUUACAUCACAUACUAUUCCGAAAAACAAAGGGAAGGAAGGGAUAGGAAAUAAAAAGCUUUCUUAUAACCUCCAUGGGAUGUUUACAAGUCUUAAAAAAAACUUACAAAGAGAGAACCGAACAGAAUCCUAAUCUACCACCAAACCUACAUCUUCGAUGUCUCCACCAUAGGUUGUACCUCUUCGGGGUCUCCACCUUCAUUUUUAUCACCUUCUGAUCCACUGCUCGGCGCACCUCCGAAAGCAAGCAAGGAAGCAUCUCUCUUCUCUAGGGUCUUCACCCUCUCGAACUUGACAGGCAAAAUGAUAUCUUCCGCAUGUAUGUUUCCAAAAGCCUGUCUCCGAGAUCCUAAUUGAGCACGCUCCACUACCCGACUCAAUCUCGGCUCAGCCCCCUCGAGUGCCCCCCCAGCUUGAGCGCUUGUCGCAAAGAAUCCUCUCCAUACAAAGAUAUAAGCAUCUCGACUUCAGUUUUGAUCCCGGAUAAUGCAGCCACCAAAUCAAAAUAGAGAUCUCUGUAUUUGUUACUAUCCUCCCUCGCCUCACUAAGUUGGCGCCCAACUGAGGUCACCUUCUCCUGGAGGGCAUCCCUCUUGGAAGUUAUCUCUCUCUCACGCUGAUUAAGUUUGGAGACUUUAGAGUCUCUGGCCUAAACUCAGUAGGGUACCUUCCUUCUCAAACUGCACAAAUCAGAUCCAAGAUGUUAAAACACUAGGAUCUGGCAAAACAUUCAUAUAAUGGCAAACAGGGACUAGAUAACAUGUUCAGUAAAGAGAGCCUUCUCACGCUCGAGAUGGGUCACCUCGACCUGAUACAGAGUGAAAUCCUGAUUGUAAAGCGCCUUGGCCUGAAGCCAUGAAAAUAGAUUAGUAAGAAAGAUAAAGGUCAAGGAAACCGAGGACCGAACGACAGGCAGGGUUCGUAAAGAUUACCUUCUCACAAAGCCUGCUCAUCUCACCAAAUAUGAGGGGCGCGUCGAUCUUAGGGACACCCUUGGGAAUUGUUGGAAGCCUUUCAAGCACAUCUCUGCCUUUUACAGGCAUCCUCGCAUCGGAAGAUUCUUCGUGCGGGGCAUCUUGCACUCCUUUAGAAGGUAGGGUCAUUCCCUGAGGAGAAUCAAUCACGACCACGACACUGGUAGGGUUAGUUAGGACCAUCCCUUGUCCAUUCAGUGCCCCAGAACUAGGCCUCUUUGAACCACCUAACGAAGGCACUCCAAAGCGAGAGGAACUUUGACCACCGACUAGCUCAGGGGCAAAACCCGAUACUUCCUUAGUUGUCUAUCCGCCAUGAAGUGAGACCGCAACGACAUUAGACUCCGGCUCAGAAGCCACCAUCUCUACGGCCCCAGGAUCAGCUAGGCCUAUCCCUCCCUCGGGCACUGUCGAGAAGCUAUUUUCCUCCUCACCCUCAACUCGAGGGUUUCCCACCUUUUUCGUGGUUAGAGCUACCGGGUAGGCCUUAGCUUCUUCUACCUUAAUCUUCUUAGAUUCAGAAGGCCCGUCAAAUGGAUCCAUUUGUCUCUUCUUCCCUUUCAUCGGGUACCAAAUCAUCCUCCUCGCCAGGUAAUGCUCCUUGCAUCAAGGGGACUUCCUCGAGACCUGCACAAAUUCAAGAAGAAAGCAUAUGGAAUGAGAGAUCUGCUAGUCAUGAUUUAACUUGAGAAGAAUGACUACGGCAGGGGUUGAGUCUCACCAUCAUCUUUAGCUUCCCACCGAGCCUGGGAUAAGUCACGCCACACUCGCCCAGCAUACGGGAAAAUCGAGUCCAGGCAGCUAACCCAACUCGGGAGGUCCGUGACCACACCAAGAUAAAUUGCUACAGCUGCAUUAGUAAGAGAAAUUAAGUGCCUGAGGGAAUGGAGUCAAAAAGAAGCGAGGAAAUUACUAAGUAACAUGUCUACUUACGUUCCACGUUCCACCUCUUAGGAAACGACAUCUUUUCCGUCGGGAUCAGGUCUUAAGUCCUUACUCGGGCGAAGCGGCUUAUCCAUCCCCCAUUCUCGGGGCUCGACAUCGGAGUUUGAUUAGACCCCCACGGAAGAGACGGGGGCUGUAUAUCCUGAUCAGAUGAUUAAGGGUAAAUGGAAUCUCCCCGAUCAUGUUCACGUAGUACCUGAUCAUGCAAACAACACGCUAGAAUGAAGGAUAAAUCUUGCCAAGGGUCACUUGGUAGAAUCGGCAGAAGUCGAGAAUCACGGGGUCGAUUGGGGGCGUAGAUGGCCCCACCUGCCCUAGAGUAAACGGAUAAGUAUACACAUUGAGAAACUCGUCUUUGUAUGUUAUAAUAUCCUCCUCCCAAGUAGGGAUCUCCACAAGUACGACAUCCCCCUAUCGGCAAUCCGCUUUCACUUUUCCGACGUCUGUUAUCAAGCUAAUAUACUGAGUCACGGGCUCACUGCGCCCCGGCUUCGAAGAAGGCCUUUCGACCUUGAAAUCAAAAGCCAUCGCGAAAAAUCCUGGAAUGCAUUCCUCAUCAUGAGGAGGCAUUGUCACUUCACCUUGAGAUAAAAGAGAAGAGGAUGAGGCCACAUUCUCCUGAGAAACAAAGGCGGAAGUUUUCGCCAUUACUGGAAAAUUUCGUAAGAAAAAGGAGAGUCGCAUUCCUAGGAAAUAACAAGGUUAAAGGAAGAAGGAAUCUUUUUUGGGUUUUGGAAAUGUAGUGAGUGGAAAAUAACAAGAAGGGGAGUAUUUAUAGAAGCUUCGCGUACGCGUUCAAGGAGGCCAAGGGGCAGCUAGCUGCCAUAAUCAAUGCGGAGGACUUCAAGGGCUGUGUGUGCACUAUCUUUGGAACCUUGUGACUGUCGUGGUUCAAGAAUAUUGGAGGGGGCAAAGGUUCAAAGUCAUUUCUUAUCACUUUCACUCUAAGAAACGCCGAGACUAUUUGUGCACGGUGAAAUCGGAGGGACCAAUUUCCUCAUCAUUUUGAUGCCCUGCAAACAUGUUUCCCAAGGCUCGAGACUGGGGUCGGGUUUCACCUUCGAGGAUUAUUGGGGCUCGGCCUCGGGGCAAUAUAGACCAACAACUAUAUUGGAAAAGAGGGGAGUUCCCAAGAGGUGCAACCAGAGCCGAUAAAGUCUGUCAGGCUAGUCUGAGCCCGCAUCAUGACAUCAGCUAGCUGUCCCAUCCCCUUUUCUUUGUAAUAAAUGUGUUUGUACUCCGUUGGGAUUUCCCCUUUUUUCUAUAAAAAGGGAUCCCUUGCCAUUUUGUAGAGGUCUAUUGCUUCAGUGGAUCCACAUGAAAUAUACAAGAACAUUCUCUUUGCUCUCUAACAUAUUCUCUUAAUAUUAUCGCUUUCAUUUAUUAUCUUCAUUAUUGUUCAUUUAAGACAGAGUUCUUGGAGUGCAAGUUUAGUGCUGAGUCGAGGGAAAUAGGUAGGGACGUGAGGCUUGGAUCACAAGUCAUCCCCAAGAGAGAUAGCUUCAAGUACCUUGGGUCGAUGAUUCAGGGGGACGGAGAGAUCGACGAGGAUGUCACUCACCGUAUAGGGGCGGGCUUGAUGAAAUGGAGGUUUGCAUAUGGAGUCUUGUGUGACAAAAAAGUGUCAUCGAUACUCAAAGGUAUGUUUUAUAGAGCUGUGGUUAGACUAACCAUGUUGUAUGGGGCAGAGUGUUGGCCGUUUAAGAACUCUCAUAUCCAAAGAAUGAAGGUAGCAGAGAUGAGGAUACUGAGGUGGAUGUGCGUGCACACUAGGAUAGACAAAAUUAGCAAUGUAGAUAUUCAAAAGAAGGUGGGUGUGGUCCCUAUGGAUGACAAGAUACGGGAAGCGAGGCUUAGAUGAUUUGGGCACCUGCGGAUGAGAAGCCUUGAUGCUCCAAUGAGGAGGUGUGAGCGGUUGGCCGUGGUGGGUACGAGAAGAGGUAGAGGGAGGCCUAAUAAGGAUUGGGGAGAGGUUAUCAGGCAGAACAUGGUACGACUGCAGAUUUCUGAGGACAUGGCCUUUGAUAGGAUGGUUUGGAGGUCAAGCAUUAGAGUUGUAGGUUAGGGUGUAGUAGAGCUUUUCUUACUUCAUACCGGGGGUGAGGCAUGGUUGUAUUAGGGUUGAUCUUAGAUGGUUUACAAUUUAUGUUGAAUCCACACUAUCCUUGCUAUUUAUCUUAACCCCCGUCCUUAGAUACUGGUUACUAUUAUUGCAUGUCAUUUAUCUUGUGGUUGUUAUGCUUCUGUUACUAUUAAGUUUUCUACUGGAGUUACUAAUGAAUUGUCUUUUCUUGUUUUUUAUUUCAGUCUUUUUGAGCCGUGGGUCUAUCGGAAAUAGCCUCUCUGCCCUGUCGGGAUAUAGGGGUAAGGUCUGCGUACAUAUUACCCUCCCCAG